UGCAUGGGAUAAUGGAAUAGGACCUCGGUUCUAUUUUGUUGGUUUUCGGAACCCCGAGGUAAUGAUUAAUAGGGACAGAUGGGGGCAUUCGUAUUGCGACGUUAGAGGUGAAAUUCUUGGAUCGUCGCAAGACGGACAGAAGCGAAAGCAUUUGCCAAAAAUGUUUUCAUUAAUCAAGAACGAAAGUUAGGGGAUCGAAG
rnacentral:rRNA from 1 species